CCCUAUGGCCCUAUAUCUAAUAAAAGAGUUGCCGCAGCCGCGGGCCCCUCCCGAGUCCCCACACCUGAAAGUGGAAUCGAUCGCCUCCUUCAAGCUAGUCAUCCCACUCCGGCUAGAGAACACAGAUGAUCAGAGUCGGAAAACUGAAGUCCUGGCGGAUCCAAGUAACGACAUUCCAUGCCCUUUUCUGAUCUGCAGUUAACUGAGACGAAACUUUAGCAGGCAACCUGACAGGCCUGAGGAUAGUAUUCUGCUCACCGAGCACCACAGAGACCUUAUACGUGAGCAUCUUCGAGGAUCACAAGAUCUUGCCUCAUGUGUCACACCAGAACAACAGAUUUCAGUGGUAUAUCAUCCAUCAGCAAUACAUUGGUUAAACAAAUAUAUCAACGAGUACAACAACGCCCAGCCUUGGCUGUCCCUAAAGAGCAAAUAAACGAUGUAAAGAUAGACAUUCCAGCAGUCCCUAAAGGCAGACAACUCAAGACCAAAAUCUCGUCCUUGUCGUGCUCCUAAUCAGAAAGCUGCGUAAUCAAAAUCCACAAGCUACGUUUCGUGCUUCCUUGACUAUUAUCUUAUCUACACUACAGGGCAGACUAAUGCCAUGUACAGGAAAAAAAUGUGAAACGCAGCUGUCACCUGGGAGCUCUGGGUAUCACGGGACGCACUCGAUCAGCCACUCGAGGCUCUGCAUGAAACAGAUUGCAUAGAAUAAUGGAUGUAAGGUUAGCAAACCUGCAAACUGUAGCAUGCAUGAAUCUGAUUCAUGGCAACCAGUGUCUUUCCAAAAACAAAAGAGAAAAAAAGAAGAGGAGAAGCGUACCAUUAGGCAUUCUGGUAGAUCAUCGUCCUGCGUCCUCAUGUGAGUCUGCAUAUAUGUAAAGAGCUACUCAUUAGGCAUUUCCAGUCUAACUCGAAUCUGAGCAUGUAAAUUUGGAGUCUGAUAUCUGUUUUGAAGC